GCGACAGCUUGUAUCUCUUGGGCGGGCUUUACUUAAACAAGCCAAAAUUUUGGUGCUUGAUGAAGCGACGGCCUCGGUUGACUCAGCAACAGAUAACCUCAUCCAGAAGAUUAUUAGGACAGAGUUUAAGGACUGCACUGUUUGCACCAUUGCACAUCGUAUCCCUACAGUUAUUGACAGUGAUCUUGUCCUGGUCCUCAGUGAUGGUCGGGUGGCUGAGUUUGAUACUCCAGCACGACUCUUAGAGGACAAAUCUUCUAUGUUUCUCAAGUUGGUAUCAGAGUACUCAACAAGAUCCAGUGGCAUGCCUGAUUUUUAAUUCGGGUAGCAAGCCUGAAGAUUUUGAUGGGAGAACAAAGAAGAGCAGAAUGCCAUAGGAAAAAUGAACUGGCUAGCACUCCUGCUGCUGCUUCAUUGGGCUAGAAGAAGAAGUAUAAAUGGUGAAGGGGGUAUCUGCAAGCAGCACAAGGGAGCUACAAGUUGAAAUUAGUUACUGCAGUAAAGGCCAUGCUCAAUUCUUCUGUAGGUAUGAUGGGAAUUCUGUAACAUAAAAUAAGCUAGGCAGCAGAGGUUGGUAAUAAGUAGGAAGAGAAGAAAUGUGACGGCAAUUUGUAUCUAUCUGACAUGAACUGAUAAGCAAAUUUUGAUUAUAUUUCUGAUCUUGUAGAGGACUAACUCAACUUCAGUGCCUACUUUUGUCGAUAAGGUUUAUUAUAUUCACGAGUUCUACUUAUCAAUCAA
rnacentral:misc_RNA from 1 species